rnacentral:snoRNA from 1 species
UGGCAGUGAUGAUUAAAAGGCCGGACUCACGGCUGCUACUAAUGUUGUUGGUUGGUAGUAGAUUGAUGAAUUUCGCUGUAAGGUGUUUGAUCUGAGCCAG